rnacentral:rRNA from 1 species
UACAGAGGGUGCGAGCGUUGUUCGGAAUUACUGGGCGUAAAGCGUGCGCAGGCGGUGAUGUAAGACAGUUGUGAAAUCCCCGGGCUCAACCUGGGAACUGCAUCUGUGACUGCAUUGCUGGAGUGCGGCAGAGGGGGAUGGAAUUCCGCGUGUAGCAGUGAAAUGCGUAGAUAUGCGGAGGAACACCGAUGGCGAAGGCAAUCCCCUGGGCCUGCACUGACGCUCAUGCACGAAAGCGUGGGGAGCAAACAGG